rnacentral:rRNA from 1 species
ACGCUCGACACCUACGGAGGCAGCAGUGGGGAAUAUUGCACAAUGGGGGGAACCCUGAUGCAGCGACGCCGCGUGAGGGAAGAAGGUUUUCGGAUUGUAAACCUCUGUCCUUGGUGACGAUAAUGACGGUAGCCAAGGAGGAAGCCACGGCUAACUACGUUCCAGCAGCCGCGGUAAUCUGAGCGGGCUGGCAAGGC